rnacentral:lncRNA from 1 species
CCACCUCCCAAGCCGCCACUCUCAAGCCCUCUCCCUCAUCCGCGUGCAGCAUCUCUCUAGCUCCCCCCUAGAGAGAUCUCACAGCCGAAUAAGCAGCAGCAGCGAGAGACCCCCUCCGGCCUCCUCCUCCCAGCACCAGGAACCACCAAGUCAAGUCGCCAAUGGCCGGUCUCAGGAUGAAGCUCGUCGCCGUCGCCGCCAUGGCCGCCGCGCUCGUGGCCUCCGCGGCCGCCGCCGAGGCCCCGGCCCCGGCGCCCGCCUCCGACGCCGCGGCCGCCGUGCCCCUCGCCGCGGCCUCAUUCGCCGCCGCCGCCUUCGGAUACCUCUUCUGCUAAAUCCGUCGUCGACUCUCCGUAGCGUGGCGUGUGACCCUUCUUGGUCUUGUCCUUCUUGGUUUAUUGUUCUUGGUGUGUGUGCGUGUGUUCGUGCCGGGGUGUGAGGUGUGGGCGCGUGCGUGCGUGUAUGUAUGGGUCGCGGUGGUGUGGGAGGUGUCGAGUACGUGCGUGCGCCGGCGUGCCAUUCUUUGUGUUGGUGAUCAUGUACUUACUCUCUUGUUCUUGCUAUGAAUGAGACCAUUUAUUUGAUUCUUUCUCUCCAGCUUAAACACCAAGUCUUGACUGUUCUGAUGCAUGCAUGCUGUUGAGAUGAUGAAUCUUUGCGUUUCGCAUCACCAAAUGUUCCUUCAGGAAAUUUCGUGCUAAAAAACCUCAGUAUACAAAUGAAACUAAAGUACCAAAUUAACUCUGUUCAACGUCAAAUUUGCCAUAUGAAGAUCGAUUUGAUGCACGCUCCGCAUUUGCGACCGGCAAAACAUCAAUUAUUCAAACACGGAACUGCUGGCUUCUGUGUCGUACGAAGAGGUGAAAAAUGAAUUAAGAUCUUCGAGCAAUGCAAUUUGGAAACCAAAUAGGCCUCUUCUGUUUUCUGAAGAACAGUCUCGGGGAUUUUUCUCAUUUUUUGUGUGGUACGUACAUGUACUACUUGGAAGGUUUGUUUGGAGACGCCAGGUUGUUAAUUGGGUGAGCGAUCCGAAGGGUGGAAUGAUUGGACCAUGUGGCCGCCAUGUGCAGCUGCUCAGCAUCGGUCCACAGCUGAGUUGUCGAGGUAGGGCAACCGUACCAACUGUAUCAUUUUCUGCGACGACGCACCAACGGUAUCAUGCAAACGGUAAGAUGGUGAAUUGAACUCCGAACCGUGCGUUUCGCUGAGUUACAGCGCAGUUGAACCGUUCGUGUGUUUGUUGUCAAAAAAUUUGCGCUUAGUGUUUGCCCAGGAAGAAUAAUGGCCUGAGCGUCUAAGUUCAUUUUUUUUUGUCUGUAUAAGUUCAUUUUUGGGAGGAAAGGGAGGGCGACAGGCGUCAGGCUGGAAAACUGUAAGCCCGGCCCGAUUGUAAACAUGAAACUGGACGACGCCCAUGUUGAAAAUUGUGGGCUAUGCGGUCUACCCUUUAAUUCCUCUGCCUUUUUCGUGGUGCCGCUCACAAUGCAUAUUGAGGUUAAAGGGUAGGGACCUAUUUAUAGACUCCACUUCUAGACGUUUUAUUAUUCCACCUGUUUCCGGAAAGAUCCGUACAACUCCUAGGCAAUGUUACCAACCACGAUAAAACAUGCCGGUUUUCCGAGUCUAAAUAUAUUAGUCAUUAGCACACAUGUGUGAGUCAUGUGCAUGAUUAGAUUGUAUAUGUGAGAUCAACUUCCAAUCUUAAGCAUGUGGGUCAACAGCCUGCAGAGCCGAUCCUGCAAAACAAACCCAGCUCUUCCACCCUGUGAUGUCCCAGGAAAAUACAUACGUACAUAUAAAUUCCAGUAGAGUCGAUCCCUAUUAAUUCCUCUAUUGUAUUCCAUCACAGUCGUCCUCGGCACCUCGAGUUUUACUUCCUCGAGUGAAAUUCCGCAUCAGUUAUUCCCCGUCACAAAUAUUAAUAAUAUGAAUAAUUCCAAGUUGAUUUAAAUAAAUAAUAGUCAUGUUGAAUAAAUGUUGAAAGCCACAUAAUUAUCCAACAUCUCUCACUUGGCUGAAACAUAUUUAAUCAAUAAAUGAAGUUCCAUGUGUAAACAUGUGUUGAAAACAAUUCCUGACUAUAGUCAGUGAAUCUGCACCAUAUUAGAAUUAUUAUACAAAUAAAUGAAAUAUACGUACCUGAGUUUAAUCAUUCCACACCUAGUGUAUACAAUGCUAACUUCCUCAAUGUAUUUACUUUUAACCAAAAACUCAAGAAUAGUUGACAGGUUGUGAUGCACAUUCCACAAUCUCAUAUGAUGUGUGAGAUUCCCUUAGCCACACAUAUUUCCUUACAUUACUUGAAUGCACCAAUAAAUUCCGGUAGCUAAGGUUCAUAGUAUAAAAAAAAUUAAUACAAAUUCCAAUACCAUUAAGUAUCCCAAUUUUCCUCAGGAGUUCAAACAUAAUUCCUCACUAAGUAUGAUUCCCCUUAUCAAGGUAUUUUAAGAGGUUUGCAAUUUCCCAUGAAAAAUGUAUCGCUACACUUACUAUGUAUUUCCACUCCCAAAAAAGGAAGUCUCAAACAUGCCUUUCAUUUGAAAGUUACAAGAUAACCAAGCUUUCACUUCCAUCAAUGUAAUAUUAUCAUUAACGUAUAUAAUAGUAAUGCAAAAUAUUUUACACUUACGUUUGUAGAUGGUCGUUUUUCUUCCUCUAGAAAACCAUGUGACCUGCUAUUCCAUUGGUGUGAAGCUUGUUAUAAGACAAUCAUUAAUAGCAAACCAUGUAUUUAUUUCCUCUUUCCCUAAAUUCCAGAGAAAAAGUUUCCACAAGAAAUAUAUAUAUUCCUUUGUGUAAAUAAUUGAAUAACAAGAGUGGCAUUAUAAUAUUCCAUUGAACCUAAUUCCUUGUAAAACAAAAAAAACUUACGAACAAUGGGCCUGCGGUUCUUUGGUGAGAUAAUAAAUUCCCAAACUUUAUUAUUCCUUAUCGAGUUCAUUCCUUCCCACAUUUCUUCCACCCAUAACUUGUGUUCAUGGAAUAUUUAAACCUAGACUUUGGUUAUUCCUCUAAAAAUUUAGAGUGGCUUCCCCAAACAACAGACAAAAAUCUAAACAUGAUAUUCCAUGUUAUUUCCUCGCACUUAUCCUAAGCAUGUUAGUGUCAGGAGUUUCACUUGUAGUUUCCUUUGGACCAAGAAUAUACUCUAGUAUGAUUGCCAAUAAUUCCACCAUUUUCCAUAAAAAUAUUGUGCUCCCACUUUCCACCAGUUUUCCUUUUCCAGAUCAAAAACAUUCUGUUGAUCCACUAGAAUAAGAAUUAACAAAUUCCUGAUGUGUGCUUUGUAGUAAUUGAGAAUUUCCUUCCAAAAUAAAAUACUUCCUUCCAGUCUACAAACCAUAACAAGUGACUGUGCUAGAUGAAAAAAGUUAUAUACGUAAUAUGUAAUGCUUCUUCCAAAGGAAAAAAAACAAUGGAGCAUCAAAGAUAUUCGAUUCCUCCACUCAAUUGUGAAGCAUAUGGGAGUAUUAAAGAUAUUCAGUUCCUCCUAUCAUGUGAAGUAUACAAUAUAUUACAAUGGUGAAUGAAGUUCCAUGCUCUUAUUCAGUCGUUAUAUUCCUGAAGUGUACUACCCCCACCAACCAGUAGUUAAAACUUUGAAAUCUUUUAAUCAACUGAUUUUCCACUUCAGUACAACAUGUUAACAUCACAAUAAAACCUUCCGACUUGUAUAAUGAAAGGUAAACAUAUAACCAUAUAAAGUGCAAUCAUCGAUGAGUGAAAAGAAAUAAACAAUCUGACCUCGAGUGGGAGUGUCCAAAAGAAAAUACCAUAAGUAUACAUAAAGAAUGACGUGAAGCUUUUUAUCUCCUUCCACCUUAAGAAAAGGCGUGCAAGUUAAAUACCCGUUACAUAUGUGCUUCAGAAAACCAAAUUCCUCCCACUAAAGUUUUGAAUUCCAGAAUUAGUAAGCCACUUGACGGUUCCAUGAUAUGUGACCAAGUCGUCCCAUGACAAAAAUAAUAAAUUUCAAGCAUGUGUUCCCAAUAUCAGCAUUCCUUAGUAUGGAGAUAUCUUCCCCAAAUAAAAAUUGGGUUGCUAACUUCCAAUGGACCAUCAAGAAAGAAUAGACCAUUGUGUGAAAUUCCAUAAUGCACUGAUUUUAUCAUUGAGCAAUAUUUCUAGUCAUCAUUUUCCAAAUAGUAUUUCAUAAACAAUGGGUUCCAAAAUAGAAGCAUAAAUUAAAUCCCUUCACAAUGAAGUUGCAUAUAGAGUGUCGUAUAACAAUGAUACUUUUCCUCCACCAAGGAGUUCAAUGGCAAAAUUUCCAAUUCCAAAGUGUAUAGCAUUGUGUAGCAAUGACAAAACACACAAAAUAUGUAAUUUCCUUUGGUAUUGUUAGCAUGCCAAAAAAUGCUAUCGUAUUCCAACAAUAUAAUACAUAGAAGCUUAAAUCCACAAUCCAACUAUUUGAAAAAAAGGUAGUGUCAUAUACAUAUUUAAUGCAAGUAUUAGCAAUGUGCAUGCCUUUAAGUGAGAGCAAAUUUCCUUAAUUUUCCAUGAGUGAUUCCCAUCUUCCUCCAUAAAGAAGUGAUUGUCAUAAUAGACACCUUUUAAAUUCCUUCUCACGCAAGGUUAGUAUAAGCAUAUCCAUCAAUGAUGAUUUUCCUCCAGAACGGAGUUUGAGGGCAUAAUUUCCAAUUCCAAGUUUAUUAACUUUAGCACUUCCUUGGAAUUGUGUGCAUGGAAGUAUAUGAUAUAUAACCAUAAUGCGCAACAGAACAAAAAAAAUAGUGGUAAAUGAAAAAUUCCGUUAAUACAAAGUAUAGACAUACCUUCCUCUUUACCAAUUGGAUUGAUAAAAUAUUAUAUCUUCCUCUUCAAGGUGCAACCAGUAAUAUUUGGUCGGAUCCUUCCCUCGGAGAGUUUCUAUUGUAUGCUUGGCGAAGACAACUGCUCAAAAUUAUGCAGUUGAUUUCCUUGUGAUUUCCGUCCCAGAACAGGGUGCGCACAAGUAUUAAGAGAGCCAAGAAACACCAACCUUCCUUGUUACGAUCCGAUCCUUAUAGACAAAUAAUGUAGGUCUGGACUUCAGCAUGUACAUGUGUAUGCUAAGAAUAAAUUCCUUGCUUUCCUUAUGUAAGAUAGACGAGCAGGACAUGUAGUACUGUAUGAACAACAGGAACAGACAAAGCUUCCUCGAUCUGAGUAGUAGAUCACGCGAGCAUUCUUUUUCUUUCCUCCAUCGUGGAGUACUAGUAGUAGCAAACCAGCAAUUGAUCUGAUGGCUUGGUCUUGACGUACAUGUCUUUCUCGGGACUUGGACCUUGCUUCCUCGGAUGGAUUUCACACGACCGCUAGUUUGACUGGAUUUCCUGGCCUGUAGCAAGUGCGUCAAUCGAUCCAUGCGCAAACCUCAUGCGAAGGACCUACCUUUCCUCGAUCGCGGGUGCAUCAGCGAUUCUCCACGAUGACGCACAAGUAUCACCGCAGCAAUUAAGCACCAGCGCGGCACGCUACCUAUCCCGUGAUGAGAUUGCAACGGUGUCCGUGAUGGCGUGUCGAAGCAGAUCGAUAACAAAUUCAGACCGAGACGAGUUGACAGCAGAAUCGGCGAUGACGACUGGUAGAGUUUUGUACGCAGCGGAUUAGGGUAAAGAUGAUCGCAACCACGCUACGGCAGAGUUCACGGUAGUAGAUUAGACAACGGCGGCAACCGCCUGACCUAGCUCGAGAUACCAAUGUUGAAAAUUGUGGGCUAUGCGGUCUACCCUUUAAUUCCUUUGCCUUUUUCGUGGUGCCGCUCACAAUGCAUAUUGAGGUUAAAGGAUAAGGACCUAUUUAUAGACUCCAUUUUCAGGCGUUUUAUUAUUCCACUUGUUUCCGGAAAGAUCCGUACAACUCCUAGGCAAUGUUACCAACCACGAUAAAACAUGCCGGUUUUCCGAGUCUAAAUAUAUUAGUCACUAGCACACAUGUGUGAGUCAUGUGCAUGAUUAGAUUGUAUAUGUGAGAUCAACUUCCAAUCUUAAGCAUGUGGGUCAACAGCCUGCAGAGACGAUCCUGCAAAACAAACCCAGCUCUUCCACCCUGUGAUGUCCCGGGAAAAUACAUACGUACAUAUAAAUUCCAGUAGAGUCGAUCCCUAUUAAUUCCUCUAUUGUAUUCCAUCACAGUCGUCCUCGGCACCUCGAGUUUUACUUCCUCGAGUGAAAUUCCGCAUCAGUUAUUCCCCGUCACAAAUAUUAAUAAUAUGAAUAAUUCCAAGUUGAUUUAAAUAAAUAAUAGUCAUGUUGAAUAAAUGUUGAAAGCCACAUAAUUAUCCAACAGCCCAUAUAUAUAAUGCUGGGGUUGCCCCUUCUAGCGCAUCUAGUAGAUCCGUGAAAACUAUAUCUUGCUUACAGCGAGAGUAUCUACCGUCUCGCCACGCUGCGCUCGCUUUGUUCCAUGUGUUCGCUUCCCUACUUCGCUUUGUCUUAUUUUUUUCGUGUUCUUUUUUUUCAUUCGGGUUUCUCUAUUUCUUCAAUAGUUUCCUUCACUUUUCUGUUUUCACUUUGUUUUUCCCUGAUUUUAUUGUUUUUCACUGGUUUUCACUUUCUCCCCUUUUCUUUGGGUUUCUUUGUUUCUUUCUUGUUUGUUUUGUUUACCUUUUUUCUCUUCCCUCGGGGUUUUCCCAUUUUCUUCGAUUCCUUAUCUUUUUACACCGGGUUUUCUCCGGUUUGUUGUCUCCUUUUUCCCUUUGGUUUUCUUUUGUUUCUUUAAUGCUUUUUCUUUGCUAUACUUCGGUUUCCUCUGGUUUUAUCUUAGUUUGUUUUCACUUCUUUUAUGUUUCUUUUCUCUUUUCAUCAUUUUCCUAUUUCUUCAACACAUAUAUAACAUUUUAGUGUACAUUGUACAUUUUUGGUGUAUACAUGAAGCAUUUUCUUGAUACAUGUUUGGCAUUUAUCAAAUACCCGAUGUACAUUUUUCUUAAAAAACAUGCUAUGUACACCUUUUUCGAUACAUGUUCAAUGGUUUUUUGAAUAGAUGCUGAGCAUUAUUUAUUGUAAGAGACAUUAUUAAACUGCAUGAGCAUUUUUAAAUACAUGAUUAAUAUGUUCUUCAACAAAUUUUUUUCAUCAUAUUUUUUAUACACAUUUCUACAUUUUUUUACACCAGAAACAUUUUUACCUACGCAUUUAACAUUUUUUUAAUACGUGAUUACUAUUUUUUACAACAUAUAUUUUAUGAUGUUUACGUUUUCUAUGCAUACUGUACAUUUUGUAUACACGAGGAACAUUUUUUAUAUACAUGUUUGAUAUUUUUGAAAUACAUAAUUACUCUUUUCAAACAUAUAUUUUUUCAUGUCUACUUUUUCCAUAAACAUUGUAUAUUUUGUAUACAUCAGGAAACAUUAUAUAUAUAUAUACACGUUUAACAUUUUCUAAAUAUUAUAAACAUUUUUAAAACAUAUAUUUUUACGUAUACCAUUUGCAUACACAUCCUAUAUUUUUUGCUAUACAUCAGGAAUAUUUUUUACCUUUAGCACUGUCCAAACAUAUGAUUACCAUUUUUAAAUACAUUGUACAUUUUUUGUAUACAUCAGAAACAUGUUUUCUAUAUAACUUUAACGUUCCUAUAUUGCAUGAUUAAUAUUUUUAAAAAUAUUUAAAAUUUAAAUUUGUUUUGAUUUCUUCUUUUUUGCAAACACAUUGUACAAUUUGCCUAUAAUUUUUUUUUGUAUACAUCAGUAAUAUUUUUAAAACACAUUUAUCAUUACAUAAAUGCAUGAUUAAAAAUUUUCAACCUUUGCAUAUAAAGUGAUUUUAUAAUAGCUAUAUCAAGAAUAAUUCUAAAAACAAGCAAAAUUAAAAAAAACACAACCAAAAAACAUUAUUUUAAAGCAAGAAGUAGAGCGUUGAAGGCCUGUGUCCGUUCUGGGCCGGCCCAAUCAGGCGGCUGCCUUCAGCGAGAUGUCCUUCUGUCUAACUGUCUAGCUUGAGUCACCUCAAAAAAAAAAGUCUAGCUCGAGAUUCUAAAAAAAAAAGCUUUCAAGCUUGAAGCGAGACAUGGGCGCGCCCUUGAGCGCCCCUAUAUCUCGCCUUCAGCGAGACGGGAG